GAUGAACGCUGGCGGUAUGCUUAACACAUGCAAGUCGAACGGACACUUCGGAGUUAGUGGCGGACGGGUGAGUAACGCGUGAGAAUCUGGCUUUGGGUUCGGGACAACCACUGGAAACGGUGGCUAAUACCGGAUGUGCCGAGAGGUAAAAGAGAAAUUGCCUGAAGAUGAGCUCGCGUCUGAUUAGCUAGUUGGUGAGGUAAAGGCUCACCAAGGCAGCGAUCAGUAGCUGGUCUGAGAGGAUGACCAGCCACACGUGGACUGAGACACGGCCCAGACUCCUACGGGAGGCAGCAGUGGGGAAUUUUCCGCAAUGGGCAAAAGCCUGACGGAGCAAUACCGCGUGAGGGAAGAAGGCUCUUGGGUUGUAAACCUCUUUUCUUAGGGAAGAACACAAUGACGGUACCUAAGGAAUCAGCAUCGGCUAACUCCGUG
rnacentral:rRNA from 1 species